rnacentral:rRNA from 1 species
CCUACGGGUUGCACCAGUGGGGAAUAUUGCACAAUGGGCGCAAGCCUGAUGCAGCCAUGCCGCGUGUAUGAAGAAGGCCUUCGGGUUGUAAAGUACUUUCAGCGGGGAGGAAGGUGUUGUGGUUAAUAACCGCAGCAAUUGACGUUACCCGCAGAAGAAGCACCGGCUAACUCCGUGCCAGCAGCCGCGGUAAUACGGAGGGUGCAAGCGUUAAUCGGAAUUACUGGACGUAAAGCGCACGCAGGCGGUCUGUCAAGUCGGAUGUGAAAUCCCCGGGCUUAACCUGGGAAUGGCAUCUAAGACUGGUCAGCUAGAGUCUUGUAGAGGGGGGUAGAAUUCCAUGUGUAGCGGUGAAAUGCGUAGAGAUCUGAAGGAAUACCAGUGGCGAAGGCGGCCCCCUGGACAAAGACUGACGCUCAGAUGCGAAAGCGUGGGGAGCAAACAGGAUUAGAUACCCCCGUAGUC